rnacentral:rRNA from 1 species
CCCUUAGAUGUCCUGGGCCGCACGCGCGCUACACUGAUGCAUUCAACGAGUUUUACCUUGGCCGAGAGGCCUGGGCAAUCUUUUAAACCUGCAUCGUGAUAGGGAUAGAUUAUUGCAAUUAUUAAUCUUGAACGAGGAAUUCCUAGUAAACGCAGAUCAUCAAUCUGCAUUGAUUACGUCCCUGCCCUUUGUACACACCGCCCGUCGCACCUACCGAUUGAAUGGUUCGGUGAAGCCUCGGGAUUGUGGCCAGUUCACUUUAUUGGGAGUUGGCUGCGAGAACUUGUCUAAACCUUAUCAUUUAGAGGAAGGUGAAGUCGUAACA